rnacentral:rRNA from 1 species
GCUUGUCUCAAAGAUUAAGCCAUGCAUGUCUAAGUAUAAAUGUUAUACAGUGAAACUGCGAAUGGCUCAUUAAAUCAGUUAUAAUUUAUUUGAUAAUACCUUACUACUUGGAUAACCGUGGUAAUUCUAGAGCUAAUACAUGCUAAAAAACCCGACUUCUGGAAGGGUUGUAUUUAUUAGAUUCAAAGCCAACCGUGUAAAAAGCGUACCUUGGUGAUUCAUAAUAACUUGUCGAACCGCACGCCCUUGAGGCAGCGGUGAUUCAUUCAAAUUUCUGCCCUAUCAACUUUCGAUGGUAGGAUAGAGGCCUACCAUGG